rnacentral:rRNA from 1 species
UACAGAGGUCUCAAGCGUUGUUCGGAUUCAUUGGGCGUAAAGGGUGUGUAGGUGGCGCGCUAAGUCGGGUGUGAAAUUUCGGAGCUUAACUCCGAAACUGCAUUCGAUACUGGCGUGCUUGAGGACUGGAGAGGAGACUGGAAUUCAUGGUGUAGCAGUGAAAUGCGUAGAUAUUGGGAGGAACACCGGUGGCGAAGGCGACUACCUGGCCUGUUCUUGACGCUGAGGCGCGAAAGCUAGGGGAGCAAACGGG